rnacentral:lncRNA from 1 species
CGGCAACCGUAACAUUGAAGUCGCAGGAGGCGGGGAGUGUCACCUCAACGGCGCCCCCAUGGUUCACGUACGACUUCACACCCUGAGGCAGGAGAGCCCGCGGGAAGUUGUUUUUCUCCAAAAGGUCGUACGCUGUGUCGGAGGUGGCUGCUUGGAGGACAGAAGCCAGGAAGACGAUGAGGAGCAGAUGCCGGAUGGCCAUGUCUAGCUAACUGUUGCUGCUUACAAAUUGUAUCAAGGAAUAUGAGGAACUAGGAAGUAUGUGUAGACUGAGGCCCUGGCCACGUAUUAUAUAUGCUGCCCAACGAAAUCAAAGUCAAUCGUACUUUAAUUGCAUUUAUUUUGUUCCUGAUUAUCACUCCAUCAACCACCACAUCAAAUAUGCUAAAAAUAUCAUCCCAUUAAAUCAUAUUUAUUUCUGGCCUAGAACAUUCUAUAGUUAAUGGUUAUGCCAAAACGUUCCUCAAAUAUUCAUAAUCAAUACGUACCAUAAAAUGAGACUGAAAUUUCAGAGCAACAUUCAUUUACGUACUUCACAGCCGACAUAUGAAACAUAUGCAAAAACCUAAAAAUGAAUCAAGGGGAAACAUCAACAUCCAAACAGUUUGAUCCUUGAUGUUGGCUUGGGUACCAAUGAGGCUUCUCUUCUCUUCAAAUAAUGUUGUGCAGUGCAACUAAAACAUAAAACACCCGCAAGAAAGAAAUAUUUCAUUUAGAUAUACUUGAGUUUUACAUGAGUAUGCGGUGCAAUAGAAUGAUUAUCUCCCAUUGUGCAGAUCAUCUCUUUCAGGAUGCCUACUCAGGCCAGCACAGACUCAUACAUAACAUCUCCGUGAAAGUUUCCACAAUGUUAUAGCAUGAACUCCCAGACCGUGAGAGAGGCUCAGUACCCAUAUCCAAAAUGAAGAGUGCGGAGGAGCAGGUGCCUACCCCUCCACCUUCCACUUCUCUUAAAAUUUUCCUGUGCAAUGCAACUCAACUAAAAAACAACUCCAAGCAAUAUAUUCAAUUUAUAUCUUGUUGGGUUAUGAUACGUCUCCAACGUAUUUAUAUAUUUUUUAUUGUUCCAUGCUAUUAUAAUUGUUGGGUCAUGAGCCGAAAGCAAGCCAUCGAACAUGCCAAUGUUGGAUUGGAUGAGAUUGUCGACCGCCUGAAGGAGGUUCUCAUCGUGAUCCUUGAAGAGCCGGUCCAGACCUACGGUGAAAUACGCUCGUUGAAGCGCGUACACGCCACACCUUUCCUUGGACGGCUUGUCCAUCGCCUCCGCUCACGGCCGAUCACGCCACCGCAUCCCGUGAUGGUGUCGCGGCAACUCCAGGACCACUUAAUCUUAUACCAAUUGUGAGCAACUCACCUGAUCGAGAGGAAUUGCUAGGGAUUAGAAUUCGAAAUUGCGGAAAUUGGUUUCUUAGCUAGACGUCCGUCCACCCUCACAGCUACACUACACCGCAUGUUGUCAUCAUCCAAAUCCCAGCCAGGAGAUAGGAGAGAAGUAUAAUGCCUACUAGCUUAGCCCGCGCGGCGACACGCCGCGCCCAUCGAUCAGUCGCGACUAUGUAGACUAUGGUCCAAGCAAUAGAGUAAUAAGUAGUUAUGAUGAAAUUUGUUGCAUAACUUGAGGCUUUUUAGCAAAUUCUUUUGUUCACAACAAUUUAUAGACACAAAUAUCUAUCUUUCGUGGAAACUUUUAGUUUAUUUUGUACAUAGCAAGGGUCUGUCCACCAAGUUGAAACAAAUACACAACAUGACCAAAAGUAAGGAACUUCAGAACAGUGCUUUCGUAGCUAAAAUUUAAUAAUUUUUCACAUUUCAUAACAUAAAUACUUAACUAAAACUUACAUCUGAUCUGAAGUACAACCAUUGAGACAGUAAAAAAACCACUAUUUUGAUCAUCAGAAAAAAAUUAAUGUGCAUUUCAUGGAAAAAGUUUAGAGACAAAAUAAUUUAGCCAAGAGAAAAACUAUUUCAGAUCACAAAAGGCGCUCCAAAGAGUAAUUGUGUAUAUUAUUCAAAAGAACACUUUGUUACCUUCAGGCUUUAAUUAGCCCCAUUGUAUCUUGUGGAAUCAUGCAGUGAUACAAAUUCUUACCAUAAACAAAAAAAUUAAGCAGCUCUUAAUAUAGAAACAACCAUAUCACUCUGAAUCAAGGGAGCAUGAUGCGAUGAACUGAUGACGGGGAAUCUAUGGUAGCAUAUACCCAGGAAACAGUGUUCAUGGAAACUUUGUUAAACAACCCCUUGCUCAGCUUAAAAGUAUUCCUUCCUGGGUCUCCACUGAAACAAAGCAAUAUUUAUACACCCACAGGUGAGAACAAUAUGAGAUUGUUCGAUAUAAAACCAACAAUGCUUGAACAUACUUGUUUCUCUACCUCACCAUGUGGCAACCAGAAAAAGCUUUAACAAUUUAAAAACCACUUGCAAAUUGAAGUUGAGAGCCUUCACUUAUUUCUCGAAAUGGAAGGAGGAAGGGGCCUUAAUUUGUCCCAGUAACCCCAUGAAUAUAAUUAGCCAAAUAUGUGGCAUUUCAUCUUAUUACAUGGUCAUGCUGAAGGAGGGAACAUCAAUAAAAUUAGGCAUAAGAAAUCCAUCAAAUGAAGAGAGAUGUACUUAGAAAUAAGAAUAACAAACAUUCUCAGAUACUAUGUACCUUAUCCUGCCUCUAAGAAUAUGUCAAGAAGGUGAAUCAUUCACUUUUAUGUUACCGUUGCUGACAACGGACAACUGUGGAUGGAAACAAAAUUCUCAGCAAUGCAUAUAUGAAACUAAGUAACAUGACUUAGAAAAUAUAAUGUAAAAUAUCACAAUAAACUACUACUAAGUAUGUUCAAUAGUAAUACAACCUCAGUUUGUACCCCAGAAAUUUCUAUCACCAAAACAUCUUAGAAGGUUCAGUGCUAGUGAUGUGCCUGCCAUAAGACCGAAUGCCAAUUUCUAGUUAAAAAAUAACCGCGCAAGACCAUAUUCCUCUACCGCAAAGGGUAUAUGAUCAAGUGGGGCCAACUAAAGACAGGCCCCACGAUUCCAUUUUUUAAUGUAUGUUGUUGUAUAAUGAAUGACGCGCUUGUAUGCUUACGUGACUAUUUGGUUUUUGAUGUGAUGGAAAUUGGAGGGAAAGAUGCUGGACGGACUAAUUUGAUCAAUCGGGUGAGUAGAAGUAUUAGAGUUUUGGCCAUCUCAUCCAUUAAAUUUGGAUGGAGGGUAUGCAUCUUAAUAUGAUAAACAUAUAUGCAUACCGUAUAUGGGUUAUAUACAUAUAAAAAUCAGUGCAGCAGGCAUUUUUUCUGAAUCUAAACAUCUUGGUGGCCGAGUUCCAGUGUGAAAAUAUUGGUUUUAGUCCCUGGUCAAAUGGACUGAUGCAUAUUAUGUUUGGUUGUACCACGAAAAAUAAUUUGGUUGCUUUAAGACAUUCAACCGAGGUAGACGAUGCAAUUUUGGCUGACAUGAAGUUUUACGAUCAUCAAUAUAGCAGAAUAUGCAAAAGAUGGGAUAAAGCAAGUCAUAUCUACUCCCUCAGUCCCAUAAUAUAAGAGCGUUUUUGACACGAUGGAGGGAGUAGUUUGUUUAUUUGUUUGAGGAACACUUAUUUGCUUGGAGAAUAAUGAAGUGUGCUUGCACCGGUGCACAUGAGAUGAACUUGAACAAACGAUCUGCAUUCAUAUAUGCAUUGUACCAGAAAUCAGUGCUGCUCUAACUUGCCUCUGCAUUGCCUCUGAACCAGUGCUGAUCUAUAUCGGAGAUCAGGAAUUUACUCAUCAGGUCACUGCAUCUACUUUAUUGCGAUUAAACCACCAAACUCAAAGAAAUACCUGCAAUUUAUUUAAUAGUCUUAUUUGAUUUUUUAUUCAGAAUGCGUUGAGCUAUUUCUUUUGCCGAGCUACAUUCUUGUACAUUGGAUUCUCAAGGAGCAUCACUUGCGAGACAUAUCUUCACAUACUACCAUUUCAGAACACCACUCCCUUCACGCACAGGACAUACAUGUUCUACAUCCACCCCUCACACUCCUAAUUUCAAAACCGAGUUGGCAGGUUAUUGUAAGGCAGGUAAGCAACCUUCUAGAUGGAAUGUUGGAAUUUACUCUGGCAAGGUAGGUCUUAAACAUAUUAUCAUCUGGCUAUCUACUGUUUGAGCUCCCCAUGCUGCUAACACCAUCAAAUAUUGUUUGCUCCGGACAUCUUCAUAUGCCAAUUUGACCUUCUUUUUGGCAGACACAGUAUCUCAGAACAUCUAAAUUGACUCCUUGCACAGGUCUCUGAAUUGACACAAUCAGAAGGAUAAAACAAUCGCUAGAGCUCUUAUAGGAAGUCAGCCAUCAUUUUACUUAGACUAAAGAAGGUGUCUAUCACAAAAAAGGAAAAAAAAGUAAGUGCGAAGAAACACAUGUAGGGUUGCACAUAAUUUGUAAGAGAUGAUCAAGGCAUAUAGUUGCAGCAAGUAGCAAAUGGCAUGAAUUUAUUCAUGAUGCACUCACGCAUCAAGGGUGUAAAUCUUCUUUAGCUAGGUCCAAAUGCAGAUAGAUACAGUACAUGAAUGAUGUGUGAUAUGUCAUUGUAGGUUUCAGACCUGAUGAAAAGUUUAUUACAGUACACGAAAAAUAUUCAUGAAACGGUUAUACAGUACAGGAAUGAUGAGAAAUCGGAAAUUUCUGUACAGGAAUGAUGUAUAAUAAAUUGCUGAGAGGAAUAAAGAAGAUGCAGAAUGUCUGAAACUUCUCAAAACUGGAAACAAUUAUACAAAAGCUACCUGACAGAGUAUACGGCUAGGAAUCUGCCUAAUUCAGUGUCUCUUAUAAUCCACCAACGACUACGGCGUAAUCACCAUCAUUGCGGCUCAACCAGAAUUCGAUCGAAUAAUGAGGCAAAUAAAGCAGCUAAUAUGGGGUAAAUGCACACUAACUUGGCAGCAAGAACAGAUGGGUCAUAAGCGCCUUCAGUGACCCUACGACCUGCAAAUGGCAGUAUACAGACAGUGCGCCUUUACUCUGAAUAACCGAGAAGGAGCUAUCUUUAUCCUCUUUUUUUGCGGGGGAGCUGUCUUUAUCCUCCACUCAAGCUAGAUAUACUUACAAAGUUAGAGUUGUAUAAAGUUUUGAAGCGUAGCGCUGUGAAUGGAUCACUCGUCCAGCAGCCUCCUGACACAUAAAAUAGGCAGAGCGAGCAUUACAAGGUCCCAUAACUCGGGGUCAGGCUAGUCGAACACGAUGACGCGCACCACCGUGCGCCACGCCGACGCCAGGUAGUAGAGCGCGGGCCUCUCGCACUGGUUGUGCGCUAGGGGCUUCAUGUUGAACGCGCGCGCCUUGUAGUCAGCGGGCCAGUACCAGUUCAAGAACGUCCACGCCGGCAUCUGCAUCUCCCGCGCCAGCACAACGCCCUCGGCACCGUCACCACGAACCCCCACGCCACUGACACCGUCCACCGGUUCGCCGCGAUGUAGCAUAUCAACUGGUGCAUCACCCCCGUCGAACAGCCUCCGCAGAGACGCCGGGCGCGAACGCAUGUUGGGGAUAAGCGGUCGAGGUGGUGCAGCGAGUCAGCGACACCAGCGGUGCCACCUGGUGGGCGGCGAGGAGGCCCAGGAGGUCACCAUACACGCCUUACUCGUGGAAGCCCGAGUGUCGGCACACCCACAUCCGCCAUGCCCCAUGCACGAUGUAGUAGGGGACGGCGAGGAGGUUGUCCGGGAGGAAGACCGUGUUGUCGACUUGUCGUCACCCAUGACGAACCAGCUACACCUGGGAGACUGAGGCGGAAGGUCUCGGAGAUGACAGUCGACGUGUGAGAUGCAUGCGGAUGGCAGAGCGAUGACCGUGCGUGUAGGAGAAACCGGAGGUAUCCGGUAAGAUCUUGAUGUAUAUGCACUCCUUCCGCUUCUCCAACAGGCGCGCCAACGCCGUGAAGCCGAACACUGUAGCGUAAUCGUCGUUGUCGACACCGUGGCUGUGGCAGGUUGCGGUGGUGGUGGCGUACUCGUCGUCAACACCACCGUAUCUGUGGAGGGUGGUGGUGGCAUCCUCGCCGUCGACACCACCGUGACCGUGGCGGGCAUCAGCAGGGGCCUCGCCAGCGGCAACGUGACUAAUCAGGAGGAUAGCGUUGUGGGCGGCUUCUUCUGGGUGGAGGCAGCCGGGCGCUGCCACGCUGGGCAAGAUGCUAUGUGCGAAGAAGAGCCCUUUUAUAGGCCAGUACGGCGGUGAAUGGGUGGCUGGGUUAUGCACCGCACUGGAGCAGAGUUUUCGGGAGCGUCUAGAACACACGGCUGGACAACAGCGGCAGUAACAAAAAGGUACAUAUCGAUUGGGCCAGAAGCGGUCACGACAGAAAUACAGAGAAGCAUCGAUGUGUCUGGAAAGGGACAUAUCGAUUGGGCCAGAAGCGGCCGCGACAGAAAUACAGAGAAGCAUCGAUGUGUCAACCAACCGAUCGCCACACCCGUUGAAGAAAUUUGAAUCAAAAAACUGAACACACCACUCAUUUCUACCCUGCCGUGUACCAAAAAAAUACCACGCGCCAUACCCACAACUCACCAUAGGUCACUUUCAUCCAAUUGGUUUAAUCUCAAAGCGAAAACCUUGCCUGCAAUAGAGGCUUGGGUAUUUAAACUAGUGAUCGCUAACAUAGUAGAAGGGCGUGCUCAUAGUCCAUCAACCAUCGCGGUGGGUUGAUCUCGAACCUAGGCUGCGGUUAGAGCAUAAAAAUUGUAUGCGAUAUUGAGUCCAUCACACAAAGUUAGAACAUACAAACUAUGUGCAAUAGGAAGGGUCCAUCACACACGGUUAUAAUUAAAAAUCGUGUGCUCGGAUGGGUUGGCGAUUGGGGUGCCAAUACACACGCUUUCAAAAAGGUGUGCGAUGAAUGGGCUCGACUAGGUCUAACAUAAGUGCUACAUUAUACAAUUAUUAAUUUUUUACAAGCAAACAUAGCACCAGACAUAAUUCACAAUUGGACAACCCAUCGCACACUCUACGAUAUUUUGUUCUGCCAUUUCUCUACUAAUGGACAAAAGGCACUCGGCUUACAUCGGUAUGCCAACAUGAUGUACCUUGAGUGCGUUACGCUGAGUGUCAAANNNNNNNNNNGCGAUAUUGAGUCCAUCACACAAAGUUAGAACAUACAAACUAUGUGCAAUAGGAAGGGUCCAUCACACACGGUUAUAAUUAAAAAUCGUGUGCUCGGAUGGGUUGGCGAUUGGGGUGCCAAUACACACGCUUUCAAAACGGUGUGCGAUGAAUGGGCUCGACUAGGUCUAACAUAAGUGCUACAUUAUACAAUUAUUCAUUUUUUACAAGCAAACAUAGCACCAGACAUAAUUCACAAUUGGACAACCCAUCGCACACUCUACGAUAUUUUGUUCUGCCAUUUCUCUACUAAUGGACAAAAGGCACUCGGCUUACAUCGGUAUGCCAACAUGAUGUACCUUGAGUGCGUUACGCUGAGUGUCAAACCCGCCGAGGCAAAAUCAGCCUUUGCUAGGGGGUCUGCACACCCAAUGGCGGAGCUAUGUUGGNNNNNNNNNNNNNNNNNNNNNNNNNNNNNNNNNNNNNNNNNNNNNNNNNNNNNNNNNNNNNNNNNNNNNNNNNNNNNNNNNNNNNNNNNNNNNNNNNNNNNNNNNNNNNNNNNNNNNNNNNNNNNNNNNNNNNNNNNNNNNNNNNNNNNNNNNNNNNNNNNNNNNNNNNNNNNNNNNNNNNNNNNNNNNNNNNNNNNNNNNNNNNNNNNNNNNNNNNNNNNNNNNNNNNNNNNNNNNNNNNNNNNNNUCUUGUAGUGGAGAAUUUUCAACGUAUGAUGUAAAAUAGCCGUUGUGUCAAAAGAAUUGACAGUUAGGUCACUUUGGGCCAAAAAAAAGUAUCCAAAAGAUGCCCUAUAUACCUAUAUGUUGCAAAAGAAAAUUACCCAAAAUUUUGUCACACACAUCUAGUAGCUGCAUUGAAACCAAAAACAAUGCAGCAGGAACCCAACCACUAGCGAUGAGACUACCCCACCGCCGACAGUCGCCACCCCACACCUACUUUGACCGACUGUGCAGCGCAUGCUGCCGCCGUGACUCAAUCGGCCGUUCUCAGCCCCGCUACCACCCUGCCGCUUGGGAUGUCCGCUACCAAAUCUUGGGCCGGCGCAUCCGAUUCCACCGACUCUGGCCAUAGAAAGUUGGUGUAGCUACCGGGACAUCCCCCUUCAGUAUUUUGGCUAAUUUUGAACUUUUUGUCCGGAUCACAAGAAAAUGUUAGUAUCGUCCAUGUUGCUGAAGGGGAAUUACUACUUGGGGAUUUGCUCACUGAAUAUUGGAAUAUACUUACUUUAUGCAUGCCAUCAAAUAUAGCUCAUCCCCUGAAAGAACAAAGAUUGCUGAUGUUUUUUUCCAUGGUUUUCUAAAACAAUGUUGAUCUUUUUCAGAGAAAUGCAAUGAUUAUUUUUAGAGAACAUUCUGCAAAUCAACUAAAUAAGAGUCUAGGCAUUCUUCUUGUUUUUUUCGGGGGGAAGGUGUCUAGGCAUUUAUUAACAUGUAGAACUUACAAUGCAUGGGGAAUGAAAGAUCAAAUAUACCUUGCUCUCCUUUCUUAUUUUAGUGGCUGUUAAUGUCAUCAUAAAGAAUAUUACACAUUAGGAUUGAGUUGUUUUGCUCUUCUAUUUUCCAGUAAGCCCUGCGAUAUUUUACAACCCAUCGGACACCCUUGUCGAUCUGAUGCUAUGUAGAUCAAGAUUAUUUCUAAUUACCUGCGAGACACCGACAAAGUAUAUCAUGUGGAAUUUCUUGUUCCUGUGGUUAGGAGGCUGGGCAAAAAAUAUAUAUGAUCAUCACAAUAAUAUUAGGUCUUGGAACCAUGACUUAUUACAUAAUCAGUUUAUUCACUCUACAUAAAGCAGCGGACUCACAAAGACACAUGCAUAUUGGAUACUACAUUAUAUGGAAGGCGUGCAUGCAUCCGUAACCGAUCACACCCUUAGCUGCACCUGGGGCUCUGCACGAAGUUGCUAACCGGAAAUGACUGGUCGAACGUGGCUGCAUGCUCACUACCAGUAAACCUCAGCUUGUCACCGACGCGUUGAACCGUGUGGAAUGUGAGAAAAUCCCACUCAAAUUGGAUCCUCACGCCACCCAAUUGAGUUAUGGAUCCGGGCCGGAUAACACCACUGACUAUGCUGUCAAACCGAAUCUUGUGUGAUCCACCGGCAACCGUAACAUUGAAGUCGCAGGAGGCGGGGAGUGUCACCUCAACGGCGCCCCCAUGGUUCACGUACGACUUCACACCCUGAGGCAGGAGAGCCCGCGGGAAGUUGUUUAUCUCCAAAAGGUCGUACGCUGUGUCGGAGGUGGCUGCUUGGAGGACAGAAGCCAGGAAGACGAUGAGGAGCAGAUGCUGGAUGGCCAUGGCUAGCUAACUGUUGCUGCUUACAAAUUGUAUCAAGGAAUAUGAGGAACUGGGAAGUAUGUGUAGACUGAGGCCCUGGCCACGUAUUAUAUAUGCUGCCCAACGAAAUCAAAUUCAAUCGUACUUUAAUUGCAUUUAUUUUGUUCCUGAUUAUCACUCCAUCAACCACCUCAUCAAAUAUGCUAAAAAUAUCAUCCCAUUAAAUCAUAUUUAUUUCUGGCCUAGAACAUUCUAUAGUUAAUGGUUAUGCCAAAACGUUCCUCAAAUAUUCAUAAUCAAUACGUACCAUAAAAUGAGACUGAAAUUUCAGAGCAACAUUCAUUUACGUACUUCACAGCCGACAUAUGAAACAUAUGCAAAAACCUAAAAAUGAAUCAAGGGGAAACAUCAACAUCCCAACAGUUUGAUCCUUGAUGUUGGCUUGGGUACCAAUGAGGCUUCUCUUCUCUUCAAAUAAUGUUGUGCAGUGCAACUAAAACAUAAAACACCCGCAAGAAAGAAAUAUUUCAUUUAGAUAUACUUGAGUUUUACAUGAGUAUGCGGUGCAAUAGAAUGAUUAUCUCCCAUUGUACAGAUCAUCUCUUUCAGGAUGCCUACUCAGGCCAGCACAGACUCAUGCAUAACAUCUCCGUGAAAGUUUCCACAAUGUUAUAGCAUGAACUCCCAGACCAUGAGAGAGGCUCAGUACCCAUAUCCAAAAUGAAGAGUGCGGAGGAGCAGGUGCCUACCCCUCCACCUUCCACUUCUCUUAAAAUUUUCCUGUGCAAUGCAACUAAACUAAAAAACAACUCCAAGCAAUAUAUUCAAUUUAUAUCUUGUUGGGUUAUGAUACGUCUCCAACGUAUUUAUAUAUUUUUUAUUGUUCCAUGCUAUUAUAAUUGUUGGGUCAUGAGCCGAAAGCAAGCCAUCGAACAUGCCAGUGUUGGAUUGGAUGAGAUUGUCGACCGCCUGAAGGAGGUUCUCAUCGUGAUCCUUGAAGAGCCGGUCCAGACCUACGGUGAAAUAUGCUCGUUGAAGCGCGUACACGCCACACCUUUCCUCGGACGGCUUGUCCAUCGCCUCCGCUCACGGCCGAUCACGCCACCGCGUCCCGGGAUGGUGUCGCGGCAACUCCAGGACCACUUAAUCUUAUACCAAUUGUGAGCAACUCACCUGAUCGAGAGGAAUUGCUAGGGAUUAGAAUUCGAAAUUGCGGAAAUUGGUUUCUUAGCUAGACGUCCGUCCACCCUCAUAGCUACACUACACCGCAUGUUGCCAUCAUCCAAAUCCCAGCCAGGAGAUAGGAGAGAAGUAUAAUGCCUACUAGCUUAGCCCGCGCGGCGACACGCCGCGCCCAUCGAUCAGUCGCGACUAUGUAGACUAUGGUCCAAGCAUUAGAGUAAUAAGUAGUUAUGAUGAAAUUUGUUGCAUAACUUGAGGCUUUUUAGCAAAUUCUUUUGUUCACAACAAUUUAUAGACACAAAUAUCUAUCUUUCAUGGAAACUUUUAGUUUAUUUUGUACAUAGCAAGGGUCUGUCCACCAAGUUGAAACAAAUACACAACAUGACCAAAAGUAAGGAACUUCGGAACAGUGCUUUCGUAGCUAAAAUUUAAUAAUUUUUCACAUUUCAUAACAUAAAUACUUAACUAAAACUUACAUCUGAUCUGAAGUACAACCAUUGAGACAGUAAUAAAACCACUAUUUUGAUCAUCAGAAAAAAAUUAAUGUGCUUUACAUGGAAAAAGUUUAGAGACAAAAUAAUUUAGCCAAGAGAAAAACUAUUUCAGAUCACAAAAGGCGCUCCAAAGAGUAAUUGUGUAUAUUAUUCAAAAGAACACUUUGUUACCUUCAGGCUUUAAUUAGCCCCAUUGUAUCUUGUGGAAUCAUGCAGUGAUACAAAUUCUUACCAUAAACAAAAAAAUUAAGCAGCUCUUAAUAUAGAAACAACCAUAUCACUCUGAAUCAAGGGAGCAUGAUGCGAUGAACUGAUGACAGGGAAUCUAUGGUAGCAUAUACCCAGGAAACAGUGUUCAUGGAAACUUUGUUAAACAACCCCUUGCUCAGCUUAAAAGUAUUCCUUCCUGGGUCUCCACUGAAACAAAGCAAUAUUUAUACACCCACAGGUGAGAACAAUAUGAGAUUGUUUGAUAUAAAACCAACAAUGCUUGAACAUACUUGUUUCUCUACCUCACCAUGUGGCAACCAGAAAAAGCUUUAAAAAUUAAAAACCACUUGCAAAUUGAAGUUGAGAGCCUUCACUUAUUUCUCGAAAUGGAAGGAGGAAGGGGCCUUAAUUUGUCCCAGUAACCCCAUGAAUAUAAUUAGCCAAAUAUGUGGCAUUUCAUCUUAUUACAUGGUCAUGCUGAAGGAGGGAACAUCAAUAAAAUUAGGCAUAAGAAAUCCAUCAAAUGAAGAGAGAUGUACUUAGAAAUAAGAAUAACAAACAUUCUCAGAUACUAUGUACCUUAUCCUGCCUCUAAGAAUAUGUCAAGAAGGUGAAUCAUUCACUUUUAUGUUACCGUUGCUGACAACGGACAACUGUGGAUGGAAACAAAAUUCUCAGCAAUGCAUAUAUGAAACUAAGUAACAUGACUUAGAAAAUAUAAUGUAAAAUAUCACAAUAAACUACUACUAAGUAUGUUCAAUAGUAAUACAACCUCAGUUUGUACCCCAGAAAUUUCUAUCACCAAAACAUCUUAGAAGGUUCAGUGCUAGUGAUGUGCCUGCCAUAAAACCGAAUGCCAAUUUCUAGUUAAAAAAUAACCGCGCAAGACCAUAUUCCUCUACCGCCAAGGGUAUAUGAUCGAGUGGGGCCAACUAAAGACAGGCCCCACGAUUCCAUUUUUUAAUGUAUGUUGUUGUAUAAUGAAUGACGCGCUUGUAUGCUUACGUGACUAUUUGGUUUUUGAUGUGAUGGAAAUUGGAGGGAAAGAUGCUGGACGGACUAAUUUGAUCAAUCGGGUGAGUAGAAGUAUUAGAGUUUUGGCCAUCUCAUCCAUUAAAUUUGGAUGGAGGGUAUGCAUCUUAAUAUGAUAAACAUAUAUGCAUACCGUAUAUGGGUUAUAUACAUAUAAAAAUCAGUGCAGCAGGCAUUUUUUCUGAAUCUAAACAUCUUGGUGGCCGACUUCCAGUGUGAAAAUAUUGGUUUUAGUCCCUGGUCAAAUGGACUGAUGCAUAUUAUGUUUGGUUGUACCACGAAAAAUAAUUUGGUUGCUUUAAGACAUUCAACCGAGGUAGACGAUGCAAUUUUGGCUGACAUGAAGUUUUACGAUCAUCAAUAUAGCAGAAUAUGCAAAAGAUGGGAUAAAGCAAGUCAUAUCUACUCCCUCAGUCCCAUAAUAUAAGAGCGUUUUUGACACGAUGGAGGGAGUAGUUUGUUUAUUUGUUUGAGGAACACUUAUUUGCUUGGAGAAUAAUGAAGUGUGCUUGCACCGGUACACAUGAGAUGAACUUGAACAAAAGAUCUGCAUUCAUAUAUGCAUUGUACCAGAAAUCAGUGCUGCUCUAACUUGCCUCUGCAUUGCCUCUGAACCAGUGCUGAUCUAUAUCGGAGAUCAGGAAUUUACUCAUCAGGUCACUGCAUCUACUUUAUUGCGAUUAAACCACCAAACUCAAAGAAAUACCUGCAAUUUAUUUAAUAGUCUUAUUUGAUUUUUUAUUCAGAAUGCGUUGAGCUAUUUCUUUUGCCGAGCUACAUUCUUGUACAUUGGAUUCUCAAGGAGCAUCACUUGCGAGACAUAUCUUCACAUACUACCAUUUCAGAACACCACUCCCUUCACGCACAGGACAUACAUGUUCUACAUCCACCCCUCACACUCCUAAUUUCAAACCGAGUUGGCAGGUUAUUGUAAGGCAGGUAAGCAACCUUCUAGAUGGAAUGUUGGAAUUUACUCUGGCAAGGUAGGUCUUAAACAUAUUAUCAUCUGGCUAUCUACUGUUUGAGCUCCCCAUGCUGCUAACACCAUCAAAUAUUGUUUGCUCUGGACAUCUUCAUAUGCCAAUUUGACCUUCUUUUUGGCAGACACAGUAUCUCAGAACAUCUAAAUUGACUCCUUGCACAGGUCUCUGAAUUGACACAAUCAGAAGGAUAAAACAAUCGCUAGAGCUCUUAUAGGAAGUCAGCCAUCAUUUUACUUAGACUAAAGAAGGUGUCUAUCACAAAAAAGGAAAAAAAGUAAGUGCGAAGAAACACAUGUAGGGUUCCACAUAAUUUGUAAGAGAUGAUCAAGGCAUAUAGUUGCAGCAAGUAGCAAAUGGCAUGAAUUUAUUCAUGAUGCACUCACGCAUCAAGGGUGUAAAUCUUCUUUAGCUAGGUCCAAAUGCAGAUAGAUACAGUACAUGAAUGAUGUGUGAUAUGUCAUUGUAGGUUUCAGACCUGAUGAAAAGUUUAUUACAGUACACGAAAAAUAUUCAUGAAACGGUUAUACAGUACAGGAAUGAUGAGAAAUCGGAAAUUUCUGUACAGGAAUGAUUUAUAAUAAAUUGCUGAGAGGAAUAAAGAAGAUGCAGAAUGUCUAAAACUUCUCAAAACUGGAAACAAUUAUACAAAAGCUACCUGACAGAGUAUACGGCUAGGAAUCUGCCUAAUUCAGUGUCUCUUAUAAUCCACCAACGACUACGGCGUAAUCACCAUCACUGCGGCUCAACCAGAAUUCGAUCGAAUAAUGAGGCAAAUAAAGCAGCUAAUAUGGGGUAAAUGCACACUAACUUGGCAGCAAGAACAGAUGGGUCAUAAGCGCCUUCAGUGACCCUACGACCUGCAAAUGGUAGUAUACAGACAGUGCGCCUUUACUCUGAAUAACCGAGAAGGAGCUGCCUUUAUCCUAUUUUUUUGCGGGGGAGCUGUCUUUAUCCUCCACUCAAGCUAGCUAUACUUACAAAGUUAGAGUUGUAUAAAGUUUUGAAGCGUAGCACUGUGAAUGGAUCACUCGUCCAGCAGCCUCCUGACACAUAAAAUAGGCAGAGCGAGCAUUACCAGGUCCCAUAACUCGGGGUCAGGCUAGUCGAACACGAUGACGCGCACCACCGUGCGCCACGCCGACGCCAGGUAGUAGAGCGCAGGCCUCUCGCACUGGUUGUGCGCUAGGGGCUUCAUGUUGAACGCGCGCGCCUUGUAGUCAGCGGGCCAGUACCAGUUCAUGAACAUCCGAGCCGGCAUCUGCAUCUCCCGCGCCAGCAUGACGCCCUCGCCACCGUCACCACGAACCCCCACGCCACUGACACCGUCCACCGGUUCGCCGCGAUGUAGCAUAUCAACUGGUGCAUCACCCCCGUCAAACAGCCUCCGCAGAGAUGCCAGGCGCAAACGCAGCGAGUCAGUGACACCAGCGGUGCUACCUGGUGGGCGGCGAGGAGGCCCAGGAGGUCACCAUACAUGCCUUACUCGUGGAAGCCCGAGUGUCGGCACGCCCAGCUCCGCCAUGCCCCAUGCAUGAUGUAGUAGGGGAUGGCGAGGAGGUUGUCCGGGAGGAAGACCGUGUUGUCGACUUGUCGUCGCCCAUGAUGAACCAGCGUACACCUGGGAGACUGAGGCGGAAGGUCUCGGAGAUGACGGUCGACGUGUGAGAUGCAUGCGGAUGGCAGAGCGAUGACCGUGCGUGUAGGAGAAACCGGAGGUAUCCGGUAAGAUCUUGAUGUAUAUGCACUCCUUCCGCUUCUCCAACAGGCGCGCCAACGCCGCGAAGCUGAACACUGCAGUGUAAUCGUCGUUGUCGACAGCGUCGCCGUGGCAGGUUGCGGUGGUGAUGGCGUACUCGUCGUCGACACCACCGUCACUUUGGAGGGUGGUGGUGGCAUCCUCGCCGUCGACACCACCGUGACCGUGGCGGGCGUCGGCAGGGGCCUCGUCAGCGGCAACGUGACUAAUCAGGAGGAUAGUGUUGUGGGCGGCUUCUUCUGGGUGGAGGCAGCCGGGCGCUGCCACGCUGGGCAAGAUGCCAUGUAUGAAGAAGAGCCCUUUUAUAGGCCAGUACGGCGGUGAACGGGUGGCUGGGUUAUGCACCGCACUGGAGCAGAGUUUUCGGGAGCGUCUAGAACACACGGCUGGCCAACAGCGGCAGUAACAAAAAGGGACAUAUCGAUUGGGCUAGAAGCGAUCGCGACAGAAAUACAGAGAAGCAUCGAUGUGUCAGGAAAGGGACAUAUCGAUUGGGCCAGAAGCGGCCGUGACAGAAAUACGGAGAAGCAUCGAUGUGUUAGACUGGCCCACAAGCAAUGAAAAAACGCUAAGCCAACCAAGCGAUCGCCACACCCGUUGAAGAAAUUUGAAUCAAAAAACUGAACACACCACUCAUUUCUACCCUGCCGUGUACCAAAAAAAUACCACGCGCCAUACUCACAACUCACCAUAGGUCACUUUCAUCCAAUUGGUUUAAUCUCAGAGCGAAAACCUUGCCUGCAAUAGAGGCUUGGGUAUUUAAACUAGUGAUCGCUAACAUAGUAGAAAGGCGUGCUCAUAGUCCAUCAACCAUCGCGGUGGGUUGAUCUCGAACCUAGGCUGCGGUUAGAGCAUAAAAAUUGUAUGCGAUAUUGAGUCCAUCACACAAAGUUAGAACAUACAAACUAUGUGCAAUAGGAAGGGUCCAUCACACAUGGUUAUAAGUAAGGGUUAAUUAUCCUUUUGCCCUUAGUGGUGUCCAUGUGCUCAGUUUUGCCCUCAGAUGCGAAUUGUCCUCAGUUUUGCCCCUAGUCCGAGCACAGCAACUACGACGAGGCCAAACGGCCAUAUUUGAGUCCAUUCCGUCCGCCGGCGUUAGUAGUUGUGGGUCCGGAGCUUACACGUGGGACCGCGUGGACGUGGGUCCGGAGCUGACAUGUAGGCCCCUGCAACUAAAUCCCCAAAUCAUUCUAGCUCACACCCAUCCGCGCGGCCGGCUGUCCUGCGCCGCCGCCGCCGCCACCUGCGCCGCGGCCAGCACCUGCCCUGCCACCAGUUGCACGGCCUGCUCCGCCGCUACCUCCCUGCGCCUACGCUCCACGGCUCAUUGUGACGCCCACCACCUUCCUGCGACGCCACGGGUGGGGCGCCCGCCACCUGCUCGAUUCGCGGCGCGGCCUCCUUCCGUGCGCCCGGCCGGAGCGCUCAAAGGUGGGGGGCUGCUGGAGCUAUUUGAACUAGGAGGAAGAACCCUAGGGCGAAAUGGUGAGCAGCGGCGACCCCGGAGUAUUUGGCGAGGCAGGCAUCGGGCCGGAGAUCCGCCGCGUCCACGACUGGGUUCCCGAGGGGUAAGUCUCGCCUCUUGUUUAGAUUGAGCUUAGUUGUGCAUUUGAACACUCGAUUCGAGUAGGUUUGCCCAAUUAGUGUGCUGAUUGCGUCUCUGUUUUUCGCCGGUUAGGAUGGAGUUGCGGUUUGCUUUCAUGGUGCACAUUAGAAGGGACCGGUACAUGUUCGAUGCAAAGGAUAAGAAGAAAUACCAAGGAGGUUUUGAUUAUCGGUUGCCAAUGGCUAGUAAUUGGAGUUUCAGACAAAUUGGGGAGGUAAUUUGUAGCCAAUAUCCUUGGGGUUUGCUUGAUGAAGUGGUAUACAAAUACUAUGAUGGGGAAAAGAAUUGGGUGACAGUUAGUAAUGAUGAAGAGCUAGCUACCAUGUUUGUUAGGCAUAAAGAGAAAGAUAAUUUUCAUGUGAGGCUGCAAGUUGAUGUGCUUGAGCAGGCAUUUGGACCUAGGAUGGCGGGUGCAACAUCUCGGGGAGAAUCAAGUCGUCGUAAUGGCAUCUCUAGCCAGAACAGUUCAGUUGGUGCACGGCGACGUGGUGGCUCGACAAGUGUGGGCAACAGCAGUAGGGUCCCCCUUGAAGUGGAGCCUGAUGGCUACAAUUCUGGGGUUGAUGAAGAGAAGUUAUAUUCUGAUGUUAUUCAGAAUUUACGACGGGCACCUCGGGCUGAAAACCAAGAUGAGGCUCACAAUGCAGUCCGUGUGGAUGAUGACGCAAUGGGUGAGGACGAAGACCUUGCAGCUGUUGAAUGGGACCCUUUGAACCCUCAAAUGGAAGAAGGUACAGUUUUUGCAUCCAUGAAUGAGUGUAGAAAUGCACUUGUGACAUACUGCAUCAAGGUAGAACGUACUUUCAAAGUUGACAAGAGCGAUCAAGUACGUUACAGAGUGCACUAUCCUACUGAGGGUUGUCCAUGGAGGCUGCUUGCAGCUAAAAUGCGGAAUAGCACUAAUGUUCAGGUCAAAGUGGAUCCUUUUAAGCACACAUGCCAGGAAUCAACUCUUAGGAAGGAUACAAUCAGUAGAGCCAAGUCAAGAUGGGUGGCAGAAGAAGUAAAAAAGUGGGUGAAAGAAAACCAGCAAGUGGGUCCAAAGGAAUUGCAGAAGAACAUCAAAGAUAAGUUCAAGAUAGAUUUACCAUACAUGAGAUUGUUCAAUGGUAAACAACAUGCUAUGGAUUCUAUUUAUGGUAACUGGCAGGAAAGUUUUCAAUUGUUGUAUUCAUUCAAAGGUGAAGUGGAGAGGACAAGCCCAGGUAGUAUUGUAGAUAUUGAUCACCACACCGUGGAGUACACAUUAAGGGGAGUGACAAAGACCAAGGAAUGCUUUAGAAGGGUUUUUGUCUGCUUUGAGGCUUGUCGCCGGGGUUUUUUGGUAGGCUGCAGGCCUUAUUUGGCUAUUGAUGCCACUUUUCUCACAGGAAGGUUUAAAGGACAGUUAGUUGCAGCUUGUGCAGUUGAUGCACAUAGUUUUGUAUUUCCAGUUGCCUAUGGUGUGCUGGAGACAGAGUCUGAGGAGAGCUGGACUUGGUUUUUGCAUAAUCUCCGCCGGGCUAUUGCACAUCCCAAUGGGUUGGUCAUUCAUACAGAUGCCUGCAAAGGUUUAGAAGUGGCCGUGGACAAUGUGUUCCCUGGAGUAGAGCAUAGGGAAUGCAUGCGUCACCUUGCUGCAAAUUUCAUGAAGAAAUUCAAAGGAAAGGUGUAUACCGACAAUUUAUGGCCAGCAUCUUUGACAUGCAGUGUGAAGAAGCAUAACUACCACUUGAGGCAGUUAUACAUGAAUCCCAAAGUGAAAGAAUACUUGGAAACACACCACUCCAAGUUAUGGGCCAGAAGCCAAUUCAGUGAAGUGAGCAAAGUUGACUAUGUGCACAAUAAUCUAGCAGAGUCUUUCAACUCAACGAUCCGGAAACUAAAGGGUCAUUAUGUGGUGGAUUUGCUUGACAGGAUAAGGAUAUAAUACAUGCAGAAAUUUCAUUAUCGUGCAGGAAUAGCCGAGGCAAAAUUCAUGGGCCACAUUAUCAUCCCUGCCAUGAUGAAUGAACUGAAGCAGAAGACAAUAGGCUUGGAAAUGAACAUGACGCUUUGCUCGGGUACCACAGCAGAGAUAUCAUAUUUGGAUAAAGAGAAGAGGGAAUGGAGAUAUCCAGUGGAUUUAGAAGCUAGAACUUGCAGUUGUAGGCAAUGACAGAUAACUGGGUUGCCAUGCAUUCAUGCCUUAUUUUUCAUCACUUCUCUCCCAGGUCCAGCAGGGAACACACAGCAGUAUGUGCAUGAUUACUACUCUGUUGCAAGGUUCAAAGCCACAUAUGCUUAUGCCUUGCCUGCUAUGGAGGGAAAACAACAAUGGGACAUGGUGGACCCUGGAUUCAAGCUUUGCGCUCCAGUUCUGAAGAGAGCAGCAGGUAGACCAAGGAAGAGUCGAAUAAGACCUUGCAGCGAAGGAGCUGGACUUGGAGCGAGGAAGCGUAAGUGCACAAGAUGUGGUGGGUCUGGUCAUUUCGGUAAGUAUUGUGAUAAUACAGUAGAUCCAGCGUUCGGAGAGAGUUUCGAUGAAGGCUUCGAUGAAAAUGUUGGUCAGCAGCCGGUUGCCUCAACAGAUGAUGAAAAUGUUGGUCAACAGCCGGUUGCCUCAACAGAUGAUGAAAAUGAUGGUCAACAGCCGGUUGCAUCAGAUGAGGAUUUUGACGAGGUUCCAAAUGAUGAUGGUCAACAGCCGCAUGAUUUUGACGAUGAUCCAAAAUAUCCUCCAAAUAAUGAUUCAAGUGAGGCUCCAAAUGGUGAUCCAAGUGAGGCUCUAAAUGGUGAUCAUGGUGAUCCAAGUGAGGCUCCAAAUGAUGAUCCAAGUGAGGCUCCAAAUGGUGACCAACCUUCUGUUGUUGUGAGUUCUGCUAGGUAUGUAAAUCUUGCAAGGGUCAAAUACUACUGUACAUCUAUCACUUGACACGAUCUCAUUACCGUUUAUGUUUGGACCCUUUAUGUUUUGCACAGCUCUAUGGUAGGUUUGAAGAAGACGCGCAAGGUACCGACAACCAAGAGAAGAAGAGAAGAAACAAUGAGCACAAGGUGCACGAGGAGCAAAGUGAUGACAAGAAGCUCAAGGAACAGACAGAAGCCCCAACGCUAUCUAUGAACAAUUAUGAAACAUUAUGAAUAAGGAAUGAUGUUGUAUUAUGAAACAUUUAUCACUUGACAUGUUGUAUUUCUGUUGGAUGAUGUUGGACCUAUGUUAGAAGUAUGUUUGACAUGAUGUUUAAAUAUAUGUUGGAUGAUGUUUGAAUGAGCACAUGGUUUUUCCUUUUUUUGAUUUUUUUGAAUUUUAUUUUGCUCAUUUAAAUUCUGGUCAAACCUAACUUUGACCAAGAUUUAAGCAAGUCUAAAACAUCAAAAUGAAAAACUAAGCCUGGAUACUUCUUAGUCAAUCCAAAAUGAAGUUGUGGUGAGGUUUUUGAAAUUUUCAUGAAAAAUGUGCUAAAAAGAGGGGUCCAAAGGUAGGGUAAACGGCCUCAUUUCUAAGCAAGGUUUUUUUCGACCUUAUCUAAAUCAGUCAAAUAACUUUCCUACACAUAUAUUCUAUAUGUACAGACUAUGUGCGCUGGUUUUUCCAUUUUUUGAUUUUUUUUAAAUUUGUUUUGCUCAUUUGAAUUCUGGUCAAACUUAACUUUGACCAAGAUUUAAACAAGUGUAAAACAUCAAAAUGAAAAACUAAGCCUGGAUCCUUCUUAGUCACUCCAAAAUGAAGCUGUGGUGAGUUUUUUGAAAUUUUCAUGUUCAUUUCCCCAAAACACUUCUCUUCACUUCAUACAAGAGAGUUUGAGAUACUCGAGAUAUCAUACAAUACACAUGAACUUAUCAUUUAAAUGUAUGUAAAGCUUGUUUAUCAACUUAAAUCGUUAGUAUAUGACAUAAGAAGACUAUGUGCGCAGGUUUUUCAUUUUUCUGAUUUUUAUUUAAUUUAUUAUGCUCAUUUGAAAUCUGGUCAAACAUAGCUUUGACUGCUCCAAACCCCUCCCAAACCCCGCUAACCCUAGCGCUGAAUAAGGACCGUUCAUCUAACCCUAGUGGUGAUCAAGGGCCGUCGAUCUAACCCUUCUAGAAGAAAUCUGCGGGGAGGAGGGGGGCGAUCCGCGAGAUGCAAUCUGAUUGGCUGGGAGAUUGUUUUUUUUAACAAAUAUCGGACGCGCUGGAUGGACCGUUGGGCCGUCUCGUUGUCUGGGCCUGAGAUCGCAGUAAAUAGCCCGUCUCAGCCUUUCCAGGCCUUGCAUGCAUGGAGGCGGCUACGUGGGUUUGCGCAUGCGCGGGAGGCGGCGACGUGCAUGCAUGCGAGUGAGGCGAGCUAGGCGAGCUAGGCUAGCGAGGCGAGCUAGGUGGUUCAGGGCAGUGGUUCAGGGCAGCGGUUCACAUGCACUGCCCGGUCAAAGAUGCAUCGUUUUCGUGCAAAAAUGUAAGUGUGCAAAACAUAACGGAUACACACACGCGUCCAGAUUCACGCACGCACCAUUCUCAUCCUUUCUCUCUUCCUCUCCCACCCACAGGCCUAUAAAUGGGGUUCCUCUCUUCCUCUCCCACCUACAAGCCAGAUCCGAUCCUCUCCAACUGCAAACACCCAAGCGACCAAGCCCUCCCCAAGCGAGACCAAGUGAAGAAGAUGUAGUUCAACGGGCCGACCUUCCGCCGUCCGCCUGUGGUGCCGGAGCUGCGCUACCCACCGGGCGUGCUCGUGGAGAGGGAGCUCCGUGUGUGGGCUAUUUCAAGGUGGAGGGGUUUCGUCGAACUCACCCGCGCCUUCCUCAGAGCCGGCUAUGCCCACCUCCUACAGGGCUCAUCGAGGAUGUUCACCCUCAACGAGGUUCGUGACCGCGGCGGCAUCCUCCUACUGCUCACGGUCACCUUCACCAACCCAUUUGACGCGCGCGAGCUCCUCGGCCAAGUCUUUUGGUGCGGCUGCGAGGUCAUCUUCUUCACCAUCUACAACAUCUACACCAACUACAAGCGCAUCUUCCCUGCUCCAGGCCAGAUGCACUCCCUUCCCUACGACGACGAGGAGGAGGUGUGAAGAUGAAGACGGUGUUGAAGGGGCGCGCGCGGCCAAGGUGGAAGAAGGAGGUCAAGAUGAAGAUGUUCAAGCCCGGAGUCAAGCUCAUCAUGUUUGGUUUUUUAUUUUGUUGCUUUUCUAUGUCGUGUCGUGUCGUGUCAUGUUUCAUCAUGUGUCCGUGAACUAUCCGUGAACUUAUCUAAGUUAUUGUAAUGGUACGGUGUGUUCCAUCUUAUUAUGUGUGUUAAAAAAUGUCCGUUCCCAAACUUAUCAUUUCUUCCCUAAACAAGUCAUGAAGUUCGAGAACUUGUGGUUUUCGGAGGGGGUGAGAAGCCCUCUGUUUUAUUCAAACAAAAAGUCAUGAACUAACAUGCAAAUUUAUUCCCUUUAAAUCCUAAACCAAGUGCCACUCUAACCCUAAACCAAGUGCCACUCUGACCAAAAUCAUGUGGUAGUGCAACAUACAUUUUCAACCUUCCAACCCUCCAAAAUUUAAGUGCAAAACAAAGGAAAACCACUCUCACGCGUGUGCAAACAUUCACGGUCUCACUAUUUUUUUUUAAAAUUCACAGUCUCACUAUGUAUACCUUCCUUCCCUACCCAUGUCAAAGUCUUGCCAUCUGUCCUAGCGGUUACCAGCGCAGCCCUAAACACCACAAACCCACGCGGUCCUGGGUUCGAGUCCCCAGCCGCACCAAUUUUUUGUGCAUUUUCCACCCUUCAUUUUUUUAUACAUAUUAUGUUUUCCUCAAUGUAAUGCCCUUAAAAAAUGUUCAUUUAUUUUGGCACCUGGCGUAAACCUCUACCAGAGCUGAGGCACAUUUUCCAUGACAUUUUGGUCUUUGAUUUAAAUCACGGUGUAUUUGAAUUGGAUUAAUUAACAGCUCGAAAAAAUUUCUAACCUUAAUUGUUUGGCUCCGGAAUAAUUCAAUUAGCUUCCACAAAAAGUUUCAGCAUUAUGAUUUACUGCCUAAAUUAAAUCAGAAUAGAAAACAAAAAAAUAUGCAAGAAAACCCCUGAAUGGGCCUAAUUGGAUGCAGUUGGCCCAUUAGUCUAGCCUGCACUUGGCUCUACGCUCUGAAUUUGGCCCAAGAGCAACCUUUUUUCGGACAGAAAGGCAGAGCAGAGAGCUGCAUUUCAUUGAUCAAAAGUUUCUGAAUUCCUAAUUUCUUCUCUUUUUUUUCCAACAUAUUUAAAUGUUGGUCACUUCUUCUCUUUUUGUUUCAACAUUUAAACAACUUUAACCAACAUUUAAACUAGGUGAAUUUCUCAAACAAUUUCAAGAUUACAAAUUCCUUCAUAAUUCAUGCCUUUCCAUACAUUUUCAACAUUACAACCAGUGCGAUUACCAUACCUACAAAUGCCCAAAAGUAUUUGCAAAUGGGUAUUGGUAGUGCUUGAUCUUCAAGCUUCCUAACCUUCUUCUUCAACAUCCUAAGCUCAAUAGCUAGCUCUCUGUCAGUGCGUGCUUCGCCAUCCAUCUCUUCUUCCGGAGCUCGUGGUGUGGCUACUGCCGUUCGUGGCAGCAUGCGCAACCAUUCUUCAUGCUCUUCUUGCAGUUCAUUCAUCAGAGUCUUGGCCAGAGCAUCGACCCAAAGAAAGAAGCAUGUCACCUGCAUGAACACUAAACAGAUCAACCCAUUGCUCAAACAUCCCGACGACGAAAAUGGUGCAAUUGCCCCGAUUCUUACCCCAUUCUCGCUGCACACGUAGAACGGACGAUUCUGGUUCCUCGGUGUCUGAGAAACCCUUCGAUCAACGCCCGCCCGGCACCGCGGACAGACGAAGACAGGCAUGUCCACACGCGCCCGGCUCUGCAUCCGCGAGGUGGCGCGGGAGCUUGAGGAAGACAUGGAGCUCGGAGCCGAAGGGGAUCUCAACGUUGCCGCGCCCUCCACUGCUAGCUUCCCACCGCCGCGCCCUCCACAGCUAGCUUCCCGCCGCCGUGCUCUCUCUCUCGCCGUGGUCACCGCCGUGCUCUCUGUCGCCGUGGUCACCGCCGUUGUCGCCCGCUUAUAUAGCACACCCGCCAACGGCUCUCUGCUCAAUGGCUCUUUGCUGGGUCCCACAAGCCACGCGUGCAACGGACUGAAUAAAAUUGGCCGUUUCUGCCGCCUGGUCCCACCUGUAAGGGCCGAGUCAAAAGGUUGACCUGACGGAGACGGCAGAGUUCACGGAACGAGUCGGUGCGCACGGACUAGGGGCAAAACUGAGCACAAUUCGCAUCUGAGGGCAAAACUGAGCACAUGGACACCACUGAGGGCAAAAGGAUAAUUAACCCUAUAAUUAAAAAUCGUGUGCUCAGAUGGGUUGGCGAUUGGGGUGCCAACACACACGCUUUCAAAACGGUGUGCGGUGAAUGGGCUCGACUAGGUCUGAAAUAAGUGCUACAUUAUAAAAUUACUCAUUUUUUACAAGCAAACAUAGCACCAGACGUAAUUCACAAUUGGACAACCCAUCGCACACUCUACAAUAUUUUGUUCUGCCAUUUCUCUACUAAUGGACAAAAGGCACUCGGCUUACAUCGGUAUGCCAACAUGAUGUACCUUGAGUGCGUUACGCUGAGUGUCAAACCCGCCGAGGCAAAAUCAGCCUUUGCUAGGGGGUCUGCACACCCAAUGGCGGAGCUAUGUUGGGGCCAGGGGGCCACUGCCCCCCAGCCUUUGAUCAAUUCCUGAAGAAAAUUUAUUUAGGGAGGCUUAGAUUAGACUUUUUUUAGCAUUUGGCGCCCCCAAAAACUGAAGAUUUUUGUUUCCCCCCCCAGUGAUCUUCGGCUAGCUCCGCCACUAUGCACACCCAGCUUAAUAUGCUUUCUUGUAGUGGAGAAUUUUCAACGAAUAAUGUAAAAUAGCCGUUGUGUCAAAAAAAUUGACAGUUAGGUCACUUUGGGACAGAAAAAGUAUCCAAAAGAUGCCCUAUAUACCUAUAUGUUGCAAAAGAAAAUUACCCAAAAUUUUGUCACACACAUCUAGCAGCUGCGCUGAAACCAAAAACAAUGCAGCAGGAACCCAACCACUUGCGAUGAGACUACCCCACCGCCGACAGUCGCCACCCCACACCUACUCUGACCGACUGUGCAGCGCAUGCCGCCGCCACGACUCAAUCGGCCGUUCUUAGCCCUGCUACCACCCUGCCGCUCGGGAUGUCCGCUACAAAUCUUGGGUCGGCGCAUCCGAUUCCACCGACUCUGGCCAUAGAAAGUUGGUGGCUACCGGGACAUCCCCCUUCAGUAUUUUGGCUAAUUUUGAACUUUAUGGACGGAUCACUAGAAAAUGUUAAUAUCGUCCAUGUUGCUGAAGGGGAAUUACUACUUGGGGAUUUCCUCACUGAAUAUUGGAAUAUACUUACUUUAUGCAUGCCAUCAAAUAUAGCUCAUCCCCUGAAAGAACAAAGAUUGCUGAUGUUUUUUUCCACGGUUUUCUAAAACAAUGUUGAUCUUUUUCAGAGAAAUGCAAUGAUUAUUUUUAGAGAACAUUCUGCAAAUCAACUAAAUAAGAGUCUAGGCAUUCUUCUUGUUUUUUUCAGGGGGAAGGUGUCUAGACAUUUAUUAACAUGUAGAACUUACAAUGCAUGGGGAAUGAAAGAUCAAAUAUACCUUGCUCUCCUUUCUUAUUUUAGUGGCUGUUAAUGUCAUCAUAAAGAAUAUUACACAUUAGGAUUGAGUUGUUUUGCUCUUCUAUUUUCCAGUAAGCCAUGCGAUAUUUUACAACCCAUCGGACACCCUUAUGGAUCUGAUGCUAUGUAGAUCAAGAUUAUUUCUAAUUACCCGCGAGACACCGACAGAGUAUAUCAUGUGGAAUUUCUUGUUCCUGUGGUUAGGAUGAACCAUUGCAACAUAUCGCAAUAAAUAGCUGGGCAAAAAAAAUAUGAUCAUCACAAUAAUAUUAGGUCUUGGAACCAUGACUUAUUACAUAAUCAGUUUAUUCUCUCUACAUAAAGCAGCGGACUCACAAAGACACAUGCAUAUUGGAUACUACAUUAUAUGGAAGGUGUGCAUGCAUCCGUAACCGAUCACACCCUUAGCUGCACCUGGGGCUCUGCACGAAGUUGCUAACCGGAAAUGACUGGUCGAACGUGGUUGCAUGCUCACUACCAGUAAACCUCAGCUUGUCACCGACGCGUUGAACCGUGUGGAAUGCAAGAAAAUCCCACUCAAACUGGAUCCUCACGCCACCCAGUUGAGUUAUGGAUCCGGGCCGGAUAACACCACUGACUAUGCUGUCAAACCGAAUCUUGUGUGAUCCACCGGCAACCGUAACGUUGAAGUCGCAGGAGGCGGAGUGUCACCUCAACGGCGCCCCCAUGGUUCAUGUAUGACUUCACACCCUGAGGCAGGAGAGCCCGCGGGAAGUUGUUUUUCUCCAAAAGGUCGUCCGCUGUGUCGGAGGUGGCUACUUGGAGGACAGAAGCCAGGAAGACGAUGAGGAGCAGAUGCUGGAUGGCCAUGGCUAACUGUUGCUUAUAAAUUGUAGGAUCGAUAUACGAAAAUGAGGAAUGGGGAAGUGCGUGCAGACUGAG